rnacentral:rRNA from 1 species
AACGAACGCUGGCGGCAUGCCUAACACAUGCAAGUCGAACGGGACCUCCGGGUCUGGUGGCGCACGGGGUCGUGACCCGGUGGGACAUGCCUUGGGGUUCGGACUAACUCCCCGGAAGGGGUGCUGAUACCGGGUAAUAUCUUCGGACCAAAGAUGUAUCGACUUUGGAGGGGCCCGAGUUGUAUUAGCUAGUUGGUAGGGUAAGAGCCUACCAAGGCGAGGAUCCAUAGCUGGUUUGAGAGGAUGAGCAGCGACACUGGGACUGAGACACGGCCCAGACUCCUAGGGGAGGUAGCAGUGGGGACUAUAGGACAACGGGCGAAAGGCUGAUCCAGCACGGGCGCGUGAGCGAUGAAGGCCUUAGGGUUGUCAAGCUCUUUUAACCGGGAUGAUAAUGACAGUACCGGGAGAAUAAGCUCCGGCUAACUACGUG